rnacentral:rRNA from 1 species
GAUGAACGCUGGCGGCGUGCCUAAUAUAUGCAAGUCGAGCGAACAGACGAGGAGCUUGCUCCUCUGACGUUAGCGGCGGACGGGUGAGUAACACGUGGAUAACCUACCUAUAAGACUGGGAUAACUUCGGGAAACCGGAGCUAAUACCGGAUAAUAUAUUGAACCGCAUGGUUCAAUAGUGAAAGACGGUUUUGCUGUCACUUAUCGAUGGAUCCGCGCCGCAUUAGCUAGUUGGUAAGGUAACGGCUUACCAAGGCAACGAUGCGUAGCCGACCUGAGAGGGUGAUCGGCCACACUGGAACUGAGACACGGUCCAGACUCCUACGGGAGGCAGCAGUAGGGAAUCUUCCGCAAUGGGCGAAAGCUUGACGGAGCAACGCCGCGUGAGUGAUGAAGGUCUUCGGAUCGUAAAACUCUGUUAUUAGGGAAGAACAAAUGUGUAAGUAACUAUGCACGUCUUGACGGUACCUAAUCAGAAAGCCACGGCUAACUACGUG